UGAACCCUAUGGGAGGCAGCAGUGGGGAAUAUUGGGCAAUGGGCGCAAGCCUGACCCAGCAACGCCGCGUGAAGGAAGAAGGCUUUCGGGUUGUAAACUUCUUUUCUCAGGGACGAAGCAGGUGACGGUACCUGAGGAAUAAGCCACGGCUAACUACGUGCCAGCAGCCGCGGUAAUACGUAGGUGGCAAGCGUUAUCCGGAUUUACUGGGUGUAAAGGGCGUGUAGGCGGGAAAGCAAGUCAGAUGUGAAAAACAUGGGCUCAAC
rnacentral:rRNA from 1 species